GGACUCAGAAAGGCAAAACAGCUUGCUCAAGGGCUCACAACUAUUUAGGUGGUAGAGCUAAGAUAUGAACCUACCUCUGACACCAAAGUGCACUUCAACACCCUACUAUCACCCAACAAAGAAUUCUGGCCACAGAAUCACCUUGCUGCGGUAUUCCUGACUGAAUCAAGAUACGCUGGGGAAGAGGCAUCUGAAGAUAGCCCGGGUUCUGACCUCGGCCCUGCUGCCUAACUGCCUGGUGACUUCAGGUAUUCUAAUCACAGAAUUACUGGAGCAUCAAGAAGUGCCUGCAUGCUUGGAAGGGCUUCCAGGCAGAUGAACACACCUCAGCACCGGGUGGCAUUUUCCCAGGGUGCAACCCGGACCGGCUCUGGGUCACACUGACAAGCCUCUCCGACUCCCCAGGCUGGGUUGGGUGCUCCUCCCUCUCAUCCCACAGCGCUAUGUCUCAUGUCUUCUGGAAAACUUGCCAAUCCCUAGUGACAACAGGGUUAACAAUUUCCAGAGACAGCCCGUACAUAGAAGGAAUGUUUACUGAAAAAAAUGAAGAGGGGUCAGGGCAAGGCGAGGAGCAAGAAGCACCCCCAAGGAAACAGAGAAGACCAGUACAACUGUACCUCUUUGCCAGCUGCACCAUCCGUACCAGUCUCCUGGGGUGGAAGUGUCCAGCACAGAGACUGCCACACUGCAAGACG
rnacentral:lncRNA from 1 species